rnacentral:lncRNA from 1 species
AUGAUGUCAUACCUGUGGAUUCUGCUGUUGGGCAGCCUGCUGGCUUCACGCGCCACGGCGCAAGAAGAGGACGGCCCAGUUCCAGAGAUCUCUGAUGAUGCCGAGGUGUCUUUAGAUGAUGCUGAGGCUGAAACGGAGGCGGUCAACACAGAUGCAGAGGAACCACAGCUAGACGAAGAGCUAGAACGUGCAGCUGACGACCCUGAAACCCCUGAAGCGAUGACCCCUACAGCAUCAGACCCAGAAGUAGCACCUCCUGCAGGAGAUGGAGAUCCAGAAGAAGAAAGCGAGGAGACGAACACUGAUGCAGCUGAUGCCCCGGUAGAAGGAGAAGAAGAAGAAACAACAACUAUCACGGCAGAUCUUCCUGCAGAUAUAGGCGAGGAAAUAUCAACUACAGCAGAACCCGAACCACUGGAAACAACAGCUCCUACAGAAGAAGAGAAUCCAGAAGCAAGUGGAGAAGCGGCAACUCCUACACCUGCUGAUGAGCAAGUAGUCACCACCACCACUGCCAUUCUCCCUGAGCAAGAGAUAUCUACAACAACAACACCUCCGCCAUUCCCGGUUGUUCCUGUUAGGGAGGCCAAGCAGACAACAAUAACACCAACAACAACCCCAUCAACAACAACAACCCCAUCAACACCAGCACCAACACCAACACUCACAACAACCGCUGAAGUGAAGGAAAUUCUCGUAGUUACUGAAGCACCAUCUGAUCCUGAAGAGGUCACACCUGCAUCUGGAGCUGAUGAGACUACGUUUAUCGACAAUUAUGCAGAUCAAGUUGAAGAGAAAGUGCUUAACCCAGUGAAAGAUUCAAGGAAAAUCUUUGCAAGUCUACCACUCGACGCUGCAUCACACGACACACCUGAAACCGAUGGUGAGUUAUACCACUCUCACUCUCUUUUAAACAUCCUCACACCUGUAUUACCUCAAACACACCUGCAGCUCCAGGAGUAUGGGGUGGGUGGCUUUCUGUUAAGGGCCAUUCAGUCCCUUUACCAGAGGAGCGUGAGUUUGGUCCGCAUAGCCGGUAGUAAGUCGGACCUGUUCCCAGUGAGGGUUGGACUCCGCCAGGACUGCCCUUUGUCACCGGUUCGGUUCAUAACCUUUAUGGACAGAAUUUCUAGGCGCAGCCGUGGUGUGGAGUGUGUCGAGUUUGGUGGCAGGAGAAUCUCGUCUCUGCUUUUUGCGGAUGAUGUGUUCUUCCUAGCUUCAUCCAGCUCUGACGUUCAGCUCUUGCUGGGUAGGUUCGCGGCCGAGUGUGAAGCGGCUGGGAUGAGGAUCAGCACCUCCAAAUCUGAGACCAUGGUUCUCGACCGGGAAAGGGCGGCUUGCCAACUCCGGGUCGGGGGAGAGGUCCUACCUCAAGUGGAGGAGUUUAAGUAUCUCGGGGUCUUGUUCACGAGUGAGGGUAGGAGGGAUCGGGAGAUCGACAGGCGGAUUGGCUCGGCGUCUGCAGUGAUGCGGACGCUGAACCGAUAUGUCGUGGUGAAGAGGGAGCUGAGCCAGAAAGCCAGGCUCUCAAUUUACCGGUCGAUCUAUAUCCCAAUCCUCACCUAUGGUCAUGAGCUUUGGGUAAUGACCGAAAGAACGAGAUCGCGGAUACAAGCGGCCGAAAUGAGUUUCCUCCGUAGGGUGGCCGGGCUCAGCCUUAGAGAUAGGGUGAGGAGCUCGGACAUUCGGGAGGGACUCGGAGUAGAACCGCUGCUCCUCCGGAUCGAAAGGAGUCAGUUGACGACACCUGCAGCAUUUGUUCCACUAUUCCAUCAUGCAGAAACCGUGUUAAGUGUGCCUUUCACACCUGACAUUUUCAAAACCUUCUUUAAAGUUGUGCUUUGCAGUGUCGUUAGGUCAUUACAAGUUUGA